CAUCGGCUUUGAGCCUGAUGCCUGUUCUGCAUACAUUGUGAAGAGAAGAUUGAUCUGGAGGCUUCCAGGUGUUUUGGGUUUUGCCCGAAACGUCCGAGCCCAGUUCUGCUGAUCCUAUGGAUGGCCUAGCCGGCCGGAGAUAGGGGAAGGACUGGAGGUAGGAAGGAAGCUUGUCGCUCUGGGUCGUUGUUGUUUGUUUGAUCUCUAGGGAUGAAGCAUCUGACGGACGACUUGAUUGCCGUUGCCUGACCGCGCGGUAUCGGAUCCAAUCUCGAGAAGCUGGUCUUAAGACCUGACACAAGCGAGCUGCUCGGCGUAGCUCCGAUAAAGUGAUCAGGUCGAACACGUCGAUGGCAUCA
rnacentral:sRNA from 1 species